ensembl:lncRNA
UAGUUACGCUGAUGGAGUAGGAAGUGUUACAAACAGCUGAUCGGAUCGGCAAAGCGUGUUUCUGGAAUAUUUUGUUUUUGUUGCUGCAAGCGCUUUUUAUGCAGUUUUUGCAAAGCUAUAUGUGGAAGGAAACCGUGACCUAGGACAAGCUGAUGGCAUAAAAUAUUUGUGGAGGGGAAUUGGAAGCAGGAAAUCGCUGCACGUCAGCAGGUGAAAAGAAAAGAGAGGGAGGAAGUUAAGUUGGACGUGUGUGUGUGUGUGUGUCACAGAGAUCACACAGCUGAGGCAUGUGGAGGUGUACAGCACAUAGGUGUUUUGACUGACAGCUUCUAGCUGUAAUCACGUGUAUGAUUGUUUCCACAUGUGAAACGGAUGUAAAAAUGAUUGGAUGAAAAAUCCCCCCCGUGGCCGGCAGUCUGAAUAAAGGCUGUGAAGUCGUGUCAACAUGGUUUCAGUUAUCCUGCAGGAAAGUAAGACUUUAACUUUUUAUUUGAUACAUCAAAGCGUG